rnacentral:rRNA from 1 species
CAUAUGCUUGUCUUAAAGAUUAAGCCAUGCAUGUCUAAGUAUAAAUAGUAUACAGUGAAACUGCGAAUGGCUCAUUAAAACAGUUAUAGUUAUUUGAUAAUUGAAUUCUACAUGGAUAACCGUAGUAAUUCUAGAGCUAAUACAUGCGAUUAAACCUGACUCUUGGAAAGGUUGUAUUUAUUAGAUAUCAAACCAGUAGUCUUUCGGGAUUAUUGUGAUGAUUCAUAAUAACUGAUCGGAUCAAGGAGUUCCUUGAUAGAUCAUUCAAGUUUCUGCCCUAUCAGCUUUCGAUGGUAGUGUAUUGGACUACCAUGGCAGUCACGGGUAACGGAGAAUUAGGGGAUUCCGGAGAGGGAGCCUGAGAAACGGCUACCACAUCUACGGAAGGCAGCAGGCGCGUAAAUUACCCAAUCCUGAUUCAGGGAGGUAGUGACAAGAAAUAACAACUCGGG